GCGUAAAUAGUUUAAUGGUAGAAUAGUGCCCUUCCAAGGCAUCGACCCGGGUUCGAAUCCCGGUUUACGCA
rnacentral:tRNA from 1 species